rnacentral:rRNA from 1 species
ACGCUCGACACCUACGUGAGGCAGCAGUGGGGAAUAUUGCACAAUGGGGGAAACCCUGAUGCAGCGACGCCGCGUGGAGGAAGAAGGUCUUCGGAUUGUAAACUCCUGUUGUUGGGGAAAAAGAGGAUGGUACCCAACAAGGAAGUGACGGCUAACUACGUGCCAGCAGCCGCGGUAAUCUGAGCGGGCUGGCAAGGC